CUGGUGGGUAUUUGUAAGUCGCUCUGGAUAAGAGCGUCUGCUAAAUGACUUAAA
rfam:Salmo salar isolate Sally breed double haploid chromosome ssa02, whole genome shotgun sequence.